AUGGCUAUUUUUUGGGUUUUACCUAAUUGUGUGGAUAAGGUUUAUAAGAGGGUUCAUUCGGAUAUAUACAAGGGAGUAGAAUCAAAAACCAGAAAGGAACAAAAACGAGAAACGGCGAGGGAGAGAGAGAGAGAAAUCCUUGAUUCGCGACAACCUCCAAUGCGUUCUCCUCCUUCAACUUCACAGCAACUCCUUCACCGCUUCAACUCACCGUUCAGCUCUUCCAACGCUUCUCAGCAACCUUCAUUUCAUCUUCAACAACAACAAUCCAUGUUUCUGACAUCAUCAACCAUCGUUCAACCGUGA